rnacentral:rRNA from 2 species
GAUGAUCGGUGCUUGCACCGAGAUUCAACAUGGAACGAGUGGCGGACGGGUGAGUAACACGUGGGUAACCUGCCCUUAAGUGGGGGAUAACAUUUGGAAACAGAUGCUAAUACCGCAUAGAUCCAAGAACCGCAUGGUUCUUGGCUGAAAGAUGGCGUAAGCUAUCGCUUUUGGAUGGACCCGCGGCGUAUUAGCUAGUUGGUGAGGUAAUGGCUCACCAAGGCGAUGAUACGUAGCCGAACUGAGAGGUUGAUCGGCCACAUUGGGACUGAGACACGGCCCAAACUCCUACGGGAGGCAGCAGUAGGGAAUCUUCCACAAUGGACGCAAGUCUGAUGGAGCAACGCCGCGUGAGUGAAGAAGGCUUUCGGGUCGUAAAACUCUGUUGUUGGAGAAGAAUGGUCGGCAGAGUAACUGUUGUCGGCGUGACGGUAUCCAACCAGAAAGCCACGGCUAACUACGUGCCAGCAGCCGCGGUAAUACGUAGGUGGCAAGCGUUAUCCGGAUUUAUUGGGCGUAAAGCGAGCGCA